rnacentral:lncRNA from 1 species
AUGAGUAUAUACAUACACCUGCUACGUUUACCUUUUGGAUUUUUUUGGAAGAACCUUUAUAUUGUGUCCAUGCCCUUUCGGGAUCCACUGCGCCCAUUAGUGUUAGGUGGCGACCACUCAAUAUCUUAUCCUGUUGUAAGAGCUGUCUCCGAGAAGCUUGUGGGACCUGUGGAUAUCUAUAAGCCCCUUGAAGGUAAUGAAUAUUCUCAUGCAGGUAAAUUCUCAUCUGUAAAUACAGUUUCCAGUUAGUUUGGAAAUGAAUAUUAGGCCAAAUUCAUGAAAGGAAAUGAUAUCUGUUUUAGCUUCACAUGAGCAUGCUCAUGAAAGGAAAUGAUGCUCAUGUUGGUUAUCUGUAUGUAUCAUUGCUGAUUUUCUCAAAAGCAUCACUUUGUGAGAAAAUUUAUAAACAUUCUUAACUGAUAAUAUUUGCACUUUUUUUCCCUGCAUUCAAAGAUUAUAAUCUUUUGUGUAGGGAGGCAGAGUGGCUCAUGUACAGUAUGCAAAUGA